CCUACGGGGGGCUGCAGUAGGGAAUCUUCCACAAUGGGCGAAAGCCUGAUGGAGCAACGCCGCGUGGGUGAAGAAGGUCUUCGGAUCGUAAAACCCUGUUGUUAGAGAAGAAAGUGCGUGAGAGUAACUGUUCACGUUUCGACGGUAUCUAACCAGAAAGCCACGGCUAACUACGUGCCAGCAGCCGCGGUAAUACGUAGGUGGCAAGCGUUACCCGGAUUUAUUGGGCGUAAAGGGAACGCAGGCGGUCUUUUAAGUCUGAUGUGAAAGCCCUCGGCUUAACCGGAGUAGUGCAUUGGAAACUGGGAGACGUGAGUGCAGAAGAGGAGAGGGGAACUCCAUGUGUAGCGGUGAAAUGCGUAGAUAUAUGGAAGAACACCAGUGGCGAAAGCGGCUCUCUGGUCUGUAACUGACGCUGAGGUUCGAAAGCGUGGGUAGCAAACAGGAUUAGAUACCCUGGUAGUC
rnacentral:rRNA from 1 species